rnacentral:rRNA from 1 species
GAUCAUGGCUCAGAUUGAACGCUGGCGGCAGGCCUAACACAUGCAAGUCGAACGGUAACAGGAAGCAGCUUGCUGCUUUGCUGACGAGUGGCGUACGGGUGAGUAAUGUCUGGGAAACUGCCUGAUGGAGGGGGGAUAACUACUGGAAACGGUAGCUAAUACCGCAUAACGUCGCAAGAUCAAAGAGGGGGGACCUUCGGGCCUCUUGCCAUCGGAUGUGCCCAGAUGGGAUUAG